rnacentral:rRNA from 1 species
CCUACGGGUGGCUGCAGUGAGGAAUAUUGGUCAAUGGACGAGAGUCUGAACCAGCCAAGUAGCGUGAAGGAUGACUGCCCUAUGGGUUGUAAACUUCUUUUAUAUGGGAAUAAAACAGGGUAUGCAUACCCUCUUUUAUGUACCAUAUGAAUAAGGAUCGGCUAACUCCGUGCCAGCAGCCGCGGUAAUACGGAGGAUCCGAGCGUUAUCCGGAUUUAUUGGGUUUAAAGGGAGCGUAGGUGGAUUGUUAAGUCAGUUGUGAAAGUUUGCGGCUCAACCGUAAAAGUGCAGUUGAAACUGGCAGUCGUGAGUACAGUAGAGGUGGGCGGAAUUCGUGGUGUAGCGGUGAAAUGCUUAGAUAUCACGAAGAACUCCGAUUGCGAAGGCAGCUCACUGGACUGCAACUGACACUGAUGCUCGAAAGUGUGGGUAUCAAACAGGAUUAGAUACCCCAGUAGUC